CAAAGAAGCACAAGGAGUCGUUGUACUUACUUUUAUUUAUUCAUAAUUUACUUAUGUCCAAAUAUGUUAACAACAACAUACCUCAUAAUUAUGUAAAGUUAUUCCAGGAUAUUGAGUCUUGCAACAACUAUCCUUGGGGUCAUGACAACCACGAAUUUACUUUCAAAUACUUGUUGACUCCUAAAACUUUAGAGACCAACAACUUAUUUUUCUUUCCAUUUUAUUUCAUGGGUUGGGCAUUUGAAGUCGUUCCUCAUUUGGGGCAUCAAGUCACUACAAAGAAGAAAUUUUAUCUCAAAGGAUAUUAAGAUGGCUGAAAGCAUAAAAUGUCAAAAAUUCUCGAGAUAUUUUUAACCACCGUGAUGAUUCAAAGGGAAACAUGAAUGUUUAUGGAGGCAACAUGAUGAGUAUGGAACAUGACAAGUUUUUGACAUUCAUACAACUUGUGUUUGAGUUUCUGCCAAGCUUGUUGAGGAAAGGUGGAAUAAUUGAGUAUUUUCCAGAUAAGGUCCUCAAUGAACUGUGGAAAUUUAAAGGUGGAUUGGAACCCAUGGUAAAAAAAUAACACUUAUUCCACGUUCGGUCAUAUUUGCUUCCAUUAAAUUGAGCAUUUGAUUACCAACACAUCAAUUCAACAUGCCAACACCAAGUUAUGUGACAAUAUAGUUGAUCGAAUGUGAUGGAGUUGGGCUGUUGGGAUAGUAUCUAGCAUCUUGGAUCUUUGGCAAUGUGUUUUUAAUUAAUGACAAUGUUUUAUUUUAUCUGUUAUGUUAUGUUAUCUCACAUUGACAGAAAGUACAUAGAAUGUGAUGUUAUGUUUCUCAUACCAUUUUCCUUUUUAACUCUAUCAAUCCACAACAUAAUCAAAUUUUGCUAUAGAUAGCUGAAUGUUGCUACAUUCGAGGCAUCGGUAGCAAGAAAUAAGUCAUUUUUCAUAAGAAAACAAUAAAAUCUACAAUGUAGUCAUUUAGAGAGUUUUGUUUA